AUUGCACGCUGGCGGCAGGCCUAACACAUGCAAGUCGCGCGAGCGGCGGACGGGUGAGUAAUUUAUGGGGAUCUGCCUGAUGGAGGGGGAUAACUACUGGAAACGUUCGCUACUACUGCAUACAAUCAUCUGGACCCAAAUGGCAUUAGCUUGUCGGUGAGGUAACGGCUCACCUAGGAGACGAUCCCUAGCUGGUCUGAGAGGACGCUCAGCCACACUGGGACGGAGACACGGCCCAGACUCCGACGGGAGGCAGCAGUGGGGAAUAUUGCACAAUGGGCGCAAGCCUGAUGCAGCCAUGCCGCGUGUAUGAAGAAGGCCUUCGGGUUGUAAAGUACUUUCAGUCGGGAGGCGUUACCGACAGAAGAAGCACCGGCUAACUCCGUGCCAGCAGCCGCGGUAAUUC
rnacentral:rRNA from 1 species